rnacentral:rRNA from 1 species
CCUACGGGUGGCAGCAGUGAGGAAUAUUGGUCAAUGGGCGCGACCCUGAACCAGCGAAGUAGCGUGAAUGAUGACUGCCCUAGGGAUUGUAAACUUCUUUUAUAAAAGCAUAACAUGAGGCACGUGUGCCUUUUUGUAUGUACUUAAUGCAUAAGGAUCGGCUAACUCCGUGCCAGCAGCCGCGGUAAUACGGAGGAUCCGAGCGUUAUCCGGAUUUAUUGGGUUUAAAGGGAGCGUAGAUGGGUUGUUAAGGCUGUUGUGAAAGUUUGCGGCUCAACCGUAAAAUUGCAAUUGAUACUGGCAGGCUUGAGUACAGUUGAGGUAGGCGGAAUUCGUGGUGUAGCGGUGAAAUGCUUAGAUAUCACGAAGAACUCCGAUUGCGAAGGCAGCUUACUAAACUGCCACUGACAUUGAUGCUCGAAAGUGUGGGUAUCAAACAGGAUUAGAUACCCGAGUAGUC